rnacentral:rRNA from 1 species
GACGAACGCUGGCGGCGUGCUUAACACAUGCAAGUCGAACGGAAAGGCCCUGCUUUUGUGGGGUGCUCGAUUGGCGAACGGGUGAGUAACACGUGAGUAACCUGCCCUUGACUUUGGGAUAACUUCAGGAAACUGGGGCUAAUACCGGAUAGGAGCUCCUGCUGCAUGGUGGGGGUUGGAAAGUUUCGGCGGUUGGGGAUGGACUCGCGGCUUAUCAGCUUGUUGGUGUGGUAGUGGCUUACCAAGGCUUUGACGGGUAGCCGGCCUGAGAGGGUGACCGGCCACAUUGGGACUGAGAUACGGCCCAGACUCCUACGGGAGGCAGCAGUGGGGAAUAUUGCACAAUGGGCGGAAGCCUGAUGCAGCAACGCCGCGUGCGGGAUAACGGCCUUCGGGUUGUAAACCGCUUUCGCCUGUGACGAAGCGUGAGUGACGGUAAUGGGUAAAGAAGCACCGGCUAACUACGUG